AGCCAAGUAAUUAAGGGCAAUCGGUGGAUGCCUUGGCGCUGAGAGGCGAUGAAAGACGCGGUAGGCGGCGAUACGCACCGGGGAGCAGCCAAACGUGCUUUGAUCCGGUGGUUUCUGAAUGGGGAAACCCGGCGGGAGUCAUGUCCCGUCAUCCCUUGACUGAAUACAUAGGUCUUGGGAAGCGAACGUGGGGAAGUGAAACAUCUCAGUACCCACAGGAGAGGAAAUCAAAAGAGAUUCCCAUAGUAGCGGCGAGCGAACUGGGAAGAGCCCAAACCAGGUGCCUCCGGGCAUCUGGGGUUGUAGGGUCUCCAUCAAGUGAUUCACUAUUAGGCAGGGGAAGUGUCUGGGAAGGCACGCCGUAGAGGGUGAAAGCCCCGUACCUGAAACCGAAUGUGACGCUGGAGAUACCUGAGUACCACGAGACACGCGAAAUCUCGUGGGAAUCCGGGAGGACCAUCUUCCAAGGCUAAAUACUCCUCAGCGACCGAUAGCGAACUAGUACCGUGAGGGAAAGGUGAAAAGAACCCCUGUUAGGGGAGUGAAACGAGAACCUGAAACCGAUUGCCUACAAGCGGUUCGAGCCGGGCUUGCCCGGUGAGAGCGUGCCUUUUGCAUAAUGAGCCAGCGAGUUAUCCUGUCGUGCGAGGUUAAGGCUAAAAUGCCGGAGCCGUAGCGAAAGCGAGUCUGAAUAGGGCGAACAGUACGGCGGGAUAGACCCGAAACCGGGUGAUCUAUCCAUGAGCAGGUUGAAGCUCGGGUAAAACCGAGUGGAGGACCGAACCCAUAUGGGCUGAAAACCAUUGGGAUGACUUGUGGAUAGGGGUGAAAGGCCAAUCAAACUCGGUGAUAGCUGGUUCUCCCCGAAAUAUAUUGAGGUAUAGCCUCAGGCAGGAAGGACGGAGGUAGAGCACUGAAAGGGCUAGGGGUCUCACCAGAUUACCAAACCCUAUCAAACUCCGAAUGCCGUUCUUUUAUUGUCUGGGAGUCAGACUCUGGGUGCGAAGGUCCAGGGUCGAGAGGGUAAGAGCCCAGAUCGACGGCUAAGGUUCCCAAAUCCAUACUCAGUGGGGAAGGAAGUGGGACCGCUCAGACAGCCAGGAGGUUGGCUUAGAAGCAGCCAUCCUUUAAAGAAAGCGUAAUAGCUCACUGGUCUAGUGGUCCUGCGCCGAAAAUGUAACGGAGCUAAGUAUGGUACCGAAGCCUCGAGCCUAUCUCACGAUAGGCGGUAGGGGAGCGUUCCCGGACGGGAUGAAGGCAGAUUGUAAAGUCUGCUGGACUAACGGGAAGUGAUAAUGCUGGCAUAAGUAACGAUAAAACGGGUGUGAAACCCGUUCGCCGUAAGCCCAAGGUUUCCUGGGUAAAGUUAAUCUUCCCAGGGUGAGUCGGUCCCUAAGGCGAGGCCGAAAGGCGUAGCUGAUGGAAAACAGGUUAAUAUUCCUGUACCUGUUUGUGUGUGCGACGGAGGGACGCAGGAGGGUAGGUCAGCCGGCUGUUGGACGUGCCGGUGUAAGCGUGUAGGCUUGGAGGAUAGGCAAAUCCGUUCUCCUUUAACGCCGAGACGUGAUGCCGAGUCUUACGACAUAAGUGACUGAUCCCAGGCUGCCGAGAAAAGCUUCUAAGUUUAGCACAAGCAGACCGUACCGUAAACCAACUCAGGUGGGCGGGGAGAGUAUCCCAAGGCGCUUGAGAGAACUCUGGUUAAGGAACUCGGCAAAAUGACCCCGUAACUUCGGGAUAAGGGGUGCCCCCUAGAGUGAAGCACUUGCUGCAUAAGCUUUGGGGGGUCGCAGUGAAACGGUGGUGGCGACUGUUUACUAAAAACACAGGUCUGUGCGAAGUCGUAAGACGACGUAUACGGACUGACGCCUGCCCGGUGCCGGAAGGUUAAGGGGUGGGGUUAGCGCAAGCGAAGCUCUAAACCGAAGCCCCGGUAAACGGCGGCCGUAACUAUAACGGUCCUAAGGUAGCGAAAUUCCUUGUCGGGUAAGUUCCGACCUGCACGAAUGGCGUAACGAUCUCCACGCUGUCUCAACCAGAGACUCAGUGAAAUUGAUGUGGCGGUGAAAAUGCCGUCUACCCGCGGAAAGACGGAAAGACCCUGUGCACCUUUACUAUAGCUUGACAUUGGAGCUUGGACAAUCGUGUGUAGGAUAGGUGGGAGACUG
rnacentral:rRNA from 1 species